AGCAGCCGCGGUAAUUCCAGCUCCAAUAGCGUAUAUUAAAGUUGUUGCAGUUAAAAAGCUCGUAGUUGAAUUUCGAGACCGGCUUACUGGUCGUGCUUUUGUACGUACUGGUAUAAUCGGUUUCUCCUUUCUGACGAACUAUAAUGCCAUUAAUUUGGUGUUAUAGGGAAUCAGGACUGUUACUUUGAAAAAAUUAGAGUGUUUAAAGCAGGCUCACGCUUGAAUACAUUAGCAUGGAAUAACGGAAUAGGACGUUUGAUUCUAUUUUGUUGGUUUCUAGGAUCGACGUAAUGAUUAAUAGGGAUAGUUGGGGGCAUUAGUAUUCAAUUGUCAGAGGUGAAAUUCUUGGAUUUAUUGAAGACUAACUACUGCGAAAGCAUUUGCCAAGGAUGUUUUCAUUAAUCAAGAACGAAAGUUAGGGGAUCGAAGACGAUCAGAUACCGUCGUAGUCUUAACCAUAAACUAUGCCGACUAGGGA
rnacentral:rRNA from 1 species